rnacentral:rRNA from 1 species
AGUGAACGCUGGCGGUAGGCCUAACACAUGCAAGUCGAACGGCAGCACAGUAUGAGCUUGCUCUUACGGGUGGCGAGUGGCGGACGGGUGAGGAAUACAGCGGAAUCUACUUUUUCGUGGGGGAUAACGUAGGGAAACUUACGCUAAUACCGCAUACGACCUACGGGUGAAAGCAGGGGAUCUUCGGACCUUGCGCGAAUGAAUGAGCCGAUGUCGGAUUAGCUAGUUGGCGGGGUAAAGGCCCACCAAGGCGACGAUCCGUAGCUGGUCUGAGAGGAUGAUCAGCCACACUGGAACUGAGACACGGUCCAGACUCCUACGGGAGGCAGCAGUGGGGAAUAUUGGACAAUGGGCGCAAGCCUGAUCCAGCCAUACCGCGUGGGUGAAGAAGGCCUUCGGGUUGUAAAGCCCUUUUGUUGGGAAAGAAAAGCAGCAGGUUAAUACCCCGCUGUUCUGACGGUACCCAAAGAAUAAGCACCGGCUAACUUCGUG